rnacentral:rRNA from 1 species
CAGUAGCCGCGGUAAGACAGAGGAUGCAAGCGUUAUCCGGAUUUAUUGGGUUUAAAGGGUCCGUAGGCGGAUCUGUAAGUCAGUGGUGAAAUCUCACAGCUUAACUGUGAAACUGCCAUUGAUACUGCAGGUCUUGAGUAAAUUUGAAGUGGCUGGAAUAAGUAGUGUAGCGGUGAAAUGCAUAGAUAUUACUUAGAACACCAAUUGCGAAGGCAGGUCACUAAGAUUUAACUGACGCUGAUGGACGAAAGCGUGGGGAGCGAACAGGAUUAGAUACCCGAGUAGUCCCUGUCUCUUAUAA